rnacentral:rRNA from 1 species
CCUACGGGCGGCAGCAGUGGGGAAUAUUGGACAAUGAGCGAAAGCCUGAUCCAGCCAUGCCGCGUGUGUGAAGAAGGCCUUCGGGUUGUAAAGCACUUUCAGUGGGGAAGAAAGCCUUGGGGCUAAUACCCUCGAGGAAGGACAUCACCCACAGAAGAAGCACCGGCUAACUCCGUGCCAGCAGCCGCGGUAAUACGGAGGGUGCGAGCGUUAAUCGGAAUUACUGGGCGUAAAGCGCGCGUAGGCGGUCUGAUAAGCCGGUUGUGAAAGCCCCGGGCUCAACCUGGGAACGGCAUCCGGAACUGUCAGGCUAGAGUGCAGGAGAGGAAGGUAGAAUUCCCGGUGUAGCGGUGAAAUGCGUAGAGAUCGGGAGGAAUACCAGUGGCGAAGGCGGCCUUCUGGACUGACACUGACGCUGAGGUGCGAAAGCGUGGGUAGCAAACAGGAUUAGAUACCCUAGUAGUC